CCAUUCCCGACACGGGGAGGUAGUGACGAAAAAUAACAAUACAGGACUCUAACGAGGCCCUGUAAUUGGAAUGAGUACAUUCUAAAACUUUUAACGAGUAUCCAUUGGAGGGCAAGUCUGGUGCCAGCAGCCGCGGUAAUUCCAGCUCCAACAGUGUAUGCUAAAGUUGUUGCGGUUGAAAAGCUCGUAGUUGGAUCUAGGGCGGGCGCCGCCGGUCCGUCGCAAGGCGUGUCACUGGCGGCGUGUGCCUUGCCUUCGGUUCUCCGUCGGUGCUCUUGACUGAGUGUCGGCGGUGGCCGAUAAGUUUACUUUGAAAAAAUUAGAGUGUUCAAAGCAGGCUGUUCGCCUGCAUAGUGUUGCAUGGAAUAAUGGAAUAGGACCUCGGUUCUAUUUUGUUGGUUUUCGGAGCACGAGGUAAUGAUUAAGAGGGACAGACGGGGGCGUCCGUACUCUGCCGUUAGAGGUGAAAUUCUUGGAUCGGCGGAAGACGAACUACUGCGAAAGCAUUCGCCAAGAAUGUUUUCUUUAAUCAAGAGCGAAAGUCAGAGGUUCGAAGACGAUCAGAUACCGUCCUAGUUCUGACUAUAAACGAUGCCAACUAGCGAUCGGGAGGCGUUACCAUGACGACCUUCCCGGCAGCUUCCGGGAAACCAAAGUCUUUGGGUUCUGGGGGAAGUAUGGUUGCAAAGCUGAAACUUAAAGGAAUUGACGGAAGGGCACCACCAGGAGUGGAGCCUGCGGCUUAAUUUGACUCAACACGGGGAAACUCACCCGGCCCGGACACAGGAAGGAUUGACAGAU
rnacentral:rRNA from 1 species